rnacentral:tRNA from 1 species
AAGAUUUUAAGUUAAUUAAACUAUUAGCCUUCAAAGCUAAAUAUAGGACAAUACCUAAAUCUUG